AACGCACAUUGCACCCUCUGGUAUUCCGGAGGGUAUGCCUGUUCGAGCGUCAUUACAACCCUCAAGCAUUGCUUGGUGUUGGGCAGCACCUGUGGGUGUGCCUCAAAAUCAUCGGUGGCGGCAGACAGCUCCUGGCGUAGUAGAUAUUCUCGUCAUGGGGCUAGGCUGCUUGCCUCCCUGGAAAGCCCCAAAGGUUGACCUCGGAUCAGGUAGGGAUACCCGCUGAACUUAA
rnacentral:misc_RNA from 1 species